rnacentral:rRNA from 1 species
UACGAAGGGUGCAAACGUUGCUCGGAAUCAUUGGGCGUAAAGCGCACGUAGGCGGCUUCAAAAGUCGGAUGUGAAAUCCCUCGGCUCAACCGAGGACGUGCAUCCGAAACUGUGAGGCUUGAGUACUGAAGAGGAUCGCGGAAUUCCCGGUGUAGAGGUGAAAUUCGUAGAUAUCGGGAGGAACACCAGUGGCGAAGGCGGCGAUCUGGGCAGAUACUGACGCUGAGGUGCGAAAGCCAGGGGAGCAAACGGG